rnacentral:rRNA from 1 species
UACGGAGGGUGCGAGCGUUGUCCGGAAUCACUGGGCGUAAAGGGCGCGUAGGCGGCUGGGGAAGUCGGCGGUGAAAGCCCGGAGCUCAACUCCGGGUCGGCCGUCGAGACUCCUCGGCUCGAGCUCACUAGAGGCAGAUGGAAUUCCGGGUGUAGCGGUGGAAUGCGUAGAGAUCCGGAAGAACACCGGUGGCGAAGGCGGUCUGCUGGGGUGAGGCUGACGCUGAGGCGCGAAAGCGUGGGGAGCGAACAGG